UACGAAGGGGGCUAGCGUUGCUCGGAAUCACUGGGCGUAAAGCGCACGUAGGCGGCUUUCUAAGUCGGGGGUGAAAUCCUGGAGCUUAACUCCAGAACUGCCUUCGAUACUGGAGAGCUCGAGUCCGGGAGAGGUGAGUGGAACUGCGAGUGUAGAGGUGAAAUUCGUAGAUAUUCGCAAGAACACCAGUGGCGAAGGCGGCUCACUGGCCCGGUACUGACGCUGAGGUGCGAAAGCGUGGGGAGCAAACAGG
rnacentral:rRNA from 1 species